rnacentral:rRNA from 1 species
CAGUCGCCGCGGGAAUACGUAGGUGGCAAGCGUUGUCCGGAAUUAUUGGGCGUAAAGGGCUCGCAGGCGGUUUCUUAAGUCUGAUGCGAAAGCCCCCGGCUCAACCGGGGAGGGUCAUUGGAAACUGGGAAACUUGAGUGCAGAAGAGGAGAGUGGAAUUCCACGUGUAGCGGUGAAAUGCGUAGAGAUGUGGAGGAACACCAGUGGCGAAGGCGACUCUCUGGUCUGUAACUGACGCUGAGGAGCGAAAGCGUGGGGAGCGAACAGGAUUAGAUACCCCAGUAGUCCCUGUCUCUUAUAC